GAUGAAGAACGCAGCGAAAUGCGAUACGUAAUGUGAAUUGCAGAAUUCAGUGAAUCAUCGAAUCUUUGAACGCACCUUGCACCCUUUGGCAUUCCGAAGGGUAUGCUCGUUUGAGUGUCAUUGUACUCUCACACUCUCCGAUCCUAUGGAUUCGGGGAGCGGUGGACUUGGGUGUUGCUGCCUUUCCUUGUGGCUCACCUCAAAUGUGUCAGUGCACCUCUUGGUUGGACAUAGUACGGCGUGAUAAGUGUCUUCGCCGGCACCUCGCAAGAGGGUGGCCGAUCGGGAGCUCUGUGCUUUCAAACCGUCUUCGGACAAUUUCUGACAACUUGACCUCAAAUCGAGUAGGACUACCCGCUGAACUUAAGCAUAUCAAUAAGCGGAGGA
rnacentral:misc_RNA from 1 species